AUUGAACGCUGGCGGCAGGCUUAACACAUGCAAGUCGAGCGAGCGGCGGACGGGUGAGUAAUGUCUGGGAAACUGCCUGAUGGAGGGGGAUAACUACUGGAAACGGUAGCUAAUACCGCAUACCAUCAGAUGUGCCCAGAUGGGAUUAGCUAGUAGGUGGGGUAAGGGCUCACCUAGGCGACGAUCCCUAGCUGGUCUGAGAGGAUGACCGGCAACACUGGAACUGAGCCAGGGUCCAGACUCCUAGGGGGGGCAGCGGGGGGGAUGUUUGCACAAUGGGCGAAGGCCUGAUGCAGCCAUGCCGGGUGUUGGAAGAGGGCGUUCGGGUUGUAAAGCACUUUCAGCGAGGAGGCGUUACUCGCAGAGGAAGCACCGGCUAACUCCGUGCCAGCAGCCGCGGUAAUU
rnacentral:rRNA from 1 species